rnacentral:rRNA from 1 species
GACGAACGCUGGCGGCGUGCCUAAUACAUGCAAGUAGAACGCUGAAGAGAGGAGCUUGCUCUUCUUGGAUGAGUUGCGAACGGGUGAGUAACGCGUAGGUAACCUGCCUUGUAGCGGGGGAUAACUAUUGGAAACGAUAGCUAAUACCGCAUAACAAUGGAUGACACAUGUCAUUUAUUUGAAAGGGGCAAUUGCUCCACUACAAGAUGGACCUGCGUUGUAUUAGCUAGUAGGUGAGGUAAUGGCUCACCUAGGCGACGAUACAUAGCCGACCUGAGAGGGUGAUCGGCCACACUGGGACUGAGACACGGCCCAGGCUCCUACGGGAGGCAGCAGUAGGGAAUCUUCGGCAAUAGGGGCAACCCUGACCGAGCAACGCCGCGUGAGUGAAGAAGGUUUUCAGAUCGUAAAGCUCUGUUGUAAGUCAAGAACGGGUGUGAGAGUGGAAAGUUCACACUGUGACGGUAGCUUACCAGAAAGGGACGGCUAACUACGUG